UACAGAGGGGGCAAGCGUUGUUCGGAAUUACUGGGCGUAAAGGGCGCGUAGGUGGCCUUCUAAGUUGAACGUGAAAUCCCUGGGCUCAACCCAGGAACUGCGUCCAAGACUGGGAGGCUUGAAUCCGGGAGAGGGAUGCGGAAUUCCAGGUGUAGCGGUGAAAUGCGUAGAUAUCGGAAGGAACAUCAGUGGCGAAAGCGGCUUCCUGGACCAGCACCGACGUUCAGGCACGAAAGCGUGGGGAGCAAACAGG
rnacentral:rRNA from 1 species